ensembl:lncRNA
GCCAGCCUGUGCCUUCUGAUUGGGAAGUUGAGACCACUGAGACUGAGAGUUAUUAUUGUAAGCCACCGUGAGGUGAGCAGCUUCUCUGCCCUGUGUUCCCUCCAUGAUGUCCUGCCUUGCCACAGGCCCGAAAGGAAUAGGGCCAGGCGGCUAUGGACUGAAACCUCCAAAACCUUGCUCGGGAAAUGCUGAAUGGACGCAUGAGUGGCAAAUUCGUAAUCCCUCCCGGAGGGCCAGGGUCGGAAAGAGCAACGAAGCCUCCGCCCAGGUUUCCAAUCCCAGCUGCGAUGCUCACGGGCUACAGAGCCUUGGCGAAGUUGCACGGCUCCUCAGGGCUCAGGUUCUUCAUCUGUGAAGUGAAAACAGCAAGGCCCUGUGGACAGAACGGGGUCCCACCCCGGCCUUGCACCCAGAGGACCCGAGUGUCUCCUACCGUACCUUCCUCUGCCCUCACCCUAGGAGUGGCCCAAAGCUUUGGGGCGGCUCUGGUGCAGAAGGGACAGGAAUGGCCAAGGCCAAGAGGACACAGACUGGGGCUCUGAAUCUGACGGGCCGGAGUCAAGGGCUGGGGCAGAGGACUCGGGAAGUGUGGGAUUGAGGCAUGGCCCUGGGGACAGAGAUGAGGGAACCCCAUCCCACCCAGGCCUGGCGGGGUGCUGGGCCGUUGUCUCCCCCGGUCGGUCCUGAGCUCUGCUUCCAAGAGUGGGCGGUCCUGCCCUGCCACUCCAGGGGGAAGAGGCUGGGGUGCAGCUCGGGGAGAGGAGCCGGGACCCAGUUGCCGACGGUGUUCGCCUGCUCCCUGGUGGAAUAUUACACUGCAGGAACACAGAGAAGAAAGUUGUUCAGUCUGACAAGGCCAAGGCAGAAGGCUCCAUGGAGAAGAUGAAGAGCAGACGAAUCCUUGGCCUGUCUAGCUCCCAUCCUGCCCUGGGGGCCCAGCCAGAACUGCCCUCCCCAGCUCUGGAGCCUUUCCUGGGUUUGGCUUCUGGCCAGAGAAUUGCAGGGCCUGCCCUCCUCCAUGGGGGAGGCAUAGGGAGGGAAUUCUGGGCUGGGCCCUGCUGUCCAGGCCCAGCCCUUGGGUCCUGGAGGAGGGGUAGUGGGGACCACGACAGGCCCCUGAUGAAGUGAGCAGCUUGCAGCCUGGGGUCGCCUGCUGUGUCAGGAGAGAUCUCCGUCCAUCUGGGAGACCCGGAUGCUGGGUCCCCAUCCUUUGAGGAGUCUCUGCCUUCGCUGACCUCUGUCCUUCCACACCUGCUUCCUGGCAUCCUUGGCUGGGGCUGUGUGCUCGGCCCCCGGGGUCUGAAGACUUGGGGUAAAGUGGACUCAGCCCUGCGUUUGCCCCAGGCUCCAGCCCAGGCAACCUGUGCCCUGUAGACGGCAGCUCAGAUGCUCCGGGUCCGGGUUCUGAUCCGAUCUGGUGUGCGGGCCCAGCACAAGGUGCUCCAGGUCCCAGAUGUGCUGGGAGCCCCUCCUGCGGCCAACCAUCCAGAGAAACCGCUGCACCACCGGCAGCGCAGUGCUGGGCAGAGGCCAGCGCUGAGGGGCCUGCUUGCUGCUGGGGUGGGGUGGGUUUCUGGGCCUUGGUGAACCUCGGCACCGGCAUGGAGUCCGGCCAGCGCUGUGCACAGCUCUCCUCGGUCUGGCCGAGUCGCUGCAGGCCGGCUGGAGGAGGCUGGGCCUGGAGGACGCGUUCCCUCGGGAGGCCGGGUCCAGGGCUCAUUUCCUGGACGGCUCCUGGCAUCUGCUGGCCUCUGGCUUCUCGGGGUGCUUGGAAGCGCUUUUGAGGAGUGAUGAGGUCAAGGGGUGCCUGGGGGUCCCUGGAGGUCAUGUCCAGGGAGGUGGGGACACCCUAGAGGUCCUGAGCCUUGCUGGGGACAGGGCAGCUUCCUGUGGGCACGCAGCCUGCCCAGGGGGCUGGCCCGCCGCUCCAGCCAUCCCCACGCACCGCCAUCCCCGCCUCGGGCCCACGGAGGCUUCUGGGCGCUGUUCUGCGGCUGCCUCGCUACUCCUCCGCCUGCCAGGCCAGAGGCUCAGCUAGGACAGGACGCUCCCUGCUGCGCCCCAGACCUGGCUCCCUGCGCACAGCGGGCUCGGGUCGGCGGCGGAUGCGCACUGUGCUCCUCUCCAGGGGGACAGAGACCCGAACCCUUUGUCUGUCUCAGGUGUGGGGGCGCAGUGGGGAGGGAGGAGCUCUGGCCACAGGGAUCCACUGGGGCUUUCCCAGGUCAUCUCUGGGGGCAGGGGCUCUGGGUCCGGGGUGCAUGUCCACUCCACACCCGGCUGACCCGGGGCCUCCUUGUCCUCCCCACGCCCCCUUUCUCUCUCUGCCGAGCUGAGAAGCCCUGGCUGGGGAGUGAGUGGGCAGGGCAGGGCGGGGAACCCGAGGGCAGACAGCCUGGGCU